GACGAACGCUGGCGGCGUGCUUAACACAUGCAAGUCGAACGAUUGGCGAACGGAUGCGUAACCCGUUGGUUAUCUGCCUUGCACCCUGCGCUACGCUUGGGCAACUGGGUCUAAUACCGGUUCGUGCAAGAUGAUCUCGCGGCCUCUCAGCUUGGUGGUGGGGUAAUGGCUCCCAAGGCGCGACGGGUAGCCGGCCUGAGAGGGUGUACGGCCACAUUGGGACUGAGAGACGGCCCAGACUCCUACGGGAGGCAGCAGGGGGGAAGAUUGCACGAUGGGCGGAAGCCUGAUGCAGCGACGCCGCGGGGGGGAUGACGGCCUUCGGGUUGUAAACCCCGGUCGACAGGGACGCGGUACCUGUAGAAGAAGCACCGGCUAACUACGUGCCAGCCGCCGCGGUAAUAC
rnacentral:rRNA from 1 species